UCGUUUUUAGCUGAUUUUGGGGCUGGAUUGGAUUGGUUUUAAGAGUUUUUCUUGUAGCAUGUGUUCAAUGGUGAUUAGCAGCUGGGUUUUCGUGGUGAAGCUAAGAGGAGAUAAGAGGAAACGGGUGGGAAUGGGGAUUUUCCGUUCUCUCUGAUUUUGCAGUUCUCAUUUUUCUUUUCUCCUUGUUAUUGUUUGGUCCUAGCUCUAGAUUCUUUUGGAUUGGGAAGUUUUGCUGCGUUUUUUAGAUGAUGAAGGAGAAUUGGAAAUAGCUGCUG
rnacentral:lncRNA from 1 species